rnacentral:sRNA from 1 species
CACCUGGUUGGAAGGCUGUGGGUCCGGGAACCCGAGCCCAAGGAGUGGGGGCGGCCCCGGAGCGAGGCUCACACUCCCUGCCCUGCAGAUGACUGUCCACAACCUGUACCUGUUUGACCGGAAUGGAGUGUGUCUGCACUACAGCGAAUGGCACCGCAAGAAGCAAGCAGGGAUUCCCAAGGAGGAGGAGUAUAAGCUGAUGUACGGGAUGCUCUUCUCUAUCCGCUCGUUUGUCAGCAAGAUGUCCCCGCUAGACAUGUACGCGGAGUCAGAAAAGAUGUUGGGAGGAGGGCUAGCCUUGGGAAUUUGGGGAUGGGGGAAACUUUCUGAAGUGGAAGGAGCAUUGGCCUCCAGAGGGGGGAAAGGGUACUUAAGAGAGGCUGAGUCCGGAGCGAGAGUGCUGGAGCUGGCAGGAGUGGGGGUGGGGAGGGUCUGA